rnacentral:rRNA from 1 species
GACGAACGCUGGCGGCGUGCUUAACACAUGCAAGUCGAACGGAAAGGCUCUGCUUUCGUGGGGUGUUCGUGUCGCACACGUGUGUGUCACAUGAGUGUAACCUGCUCUUGACUUUGGUAACACUCCAGGACACUGGGGCUUAUUCCGGAUAGGCGCUCCCGCUGCAUGGUGGGGGUUGGAAAGUUUUGGCGGUUGGGGAUGGGCUCGCGGCGUUGUCGGUUGUUGGUGGGGUAGUGGCCUACCCAGGCCUUGACGGGUAGCCGGCCUGUGAGGGUGACCGGCCACAUUGGGACUGAGAUACGGCCGAGGCUGCUGCGGGGGACAGCGGUGGGGAGGAGUGCGCAUGGGGCGGAGGCCUGGUGCAGCAACUCCGCGUGCGGGGUGACGGCCUUCGGGUUGUAAACCGCUUUCGCCUGGGUCGGAGCGUGGGUGACGGUAAUGGGUAAAGAAGCGCCGGCUAACUACGUG